rnacentral:rRNA from 1 species
UACGUAGGGUGCAAGCGUUGUUCGGAAUUACUGGGCGUAAAGGGCUCGUAGGCUGCCAACUAAGUCAGACGUGAAAUCCCUCGGCUUAACCGGGGAACUGCGUCUGAUACUGGAUGGCUUGAGAUCGGGAGAGGGAUGCGGAAUUCCAGGUGUAGCGGUGAAAUGCGUAGAUAUCUGGAGGAACACCGGUGGCGAAGGCGGCAUCCUGGACCGACACUGACGCUGAGGAGCGAAAGCCAGGGGAGCAAACGGG